rnacentral:lncRNA from 1 species
AUGAUAGUCAACUUUAAAGACCACGCAAUAGCACGUAUCUGGUAGGAUAGUGAUUACGGGUAUCGAUCCACAGGGAUUGGGGUACAGUUGUUUUCUUAAAAAAAAUAUUUAGAAAGAAAGUUUAGGAAGACUAUUGAACUAAAUAAUUUAAGAGAAAUGCAAUUAAAAUGAUAUCAGUUUGGGAGAAACUAGGGCAGGGAAUUCACCACUAAUAUCAGAACAAGGGUUAUUUAUAAUUUAUUUCGUUCUUGGAUUAACAUGCAAAUUGGCUACAAGCCUAAUAAGCAUUCGAAUAGAAAUUCACAAAAGUAAUUUAGGCAUAAUCCAUCUUCAGUUGGCAUGAAAUGUCUACCCUAAUCUAAGGUGGCAGCACAUCGCAUCUUCCCUAAGCAUGGACUAUUUUAUCUUUACUUAGUGAUCAUGAAGAACAGUUGUAUAAACUUCACAUUUAAAAUCACAGAAAUUAAACAUGAAAUAAAAAAGAUAUUCAUUAAAAAACAAUAAGUUCAUACAACUCUAAGAAUAUAAAAUAAAAUAUAAAAUCCAUGUCUCUUUGUUAGGACUGCAUCCAGCCCUAGAGAAGAGCUCAACCUUCUACGGAGUAGUGGUCGACAGUAGCAGCACAGCAGCGGCCUCCCAUUAGGACUUCCUUCCUCUCGCUUAUGUUUGGUUUUCUCUUCUCUGGCCUCUGCAGGAACUCCUCAGAUCCUUGGAUUAAUGUGGGAACUUGGCCUGUGAACCUAAGCUAGAUGGGAGAAGCGCCUGCCCCCCCCCCCCCCCCCCCCGGGUCGGGGGAAGAGGGAAUGCCCCUCCUUCACGUCUGACUCCCUUUUUAUAAGCUGCCCCCACUCCCUCUCUACUCCCCUGUUUCAAAUCAAAGAUAAGGAUGUCGGGAAUUCGAGUGGAUGCUCACGGCUGAGAGAAUCUUUGGACGCAGAAGGAGAUAAGGAUGCUGAUCCUUGGAGUGGGGAGAGGAUGAACUCUAAGGAUGAACGCUGGGAAGAAGAUUCUGUUUCCGGAAGAGGAAUUCUAUUUUGAGGCAGGGGAAAUGAUCCGGAAUGCUGGGAAAGCGAAACGAUGGCUGGGACGUUGGGACUGUUGUGAUACGAUGGGAAGAGGAUAAGCUCUGUUUGGAUGCCGUGAAGGCAGUGGGUGAGAGGAAGAUGAUAAAUCGCGGAGAAUGGGGAGGAUCUUGGUUUUGUUCCUUAGAUGCGGAAGGGAAGAAUGCUAACGUGGAGAGGAUGGGAUCUGAAUCGUGGAUGCAGAAGGAUGGAGCUUACGGCUGAUGGCUUGGAGCUAAGAUUGGACCUGCGGAUGAUUCGGGAGGAUGAGGAGAUGGAGUGCGGGACAUUGGGAUCAAUCCGGAAGAAGAUUGGUUCGAUUCUAUCCCGUGGAUCAUGGGGGAGGGGUCUUGGAUCUGUUCUGAAACACAGCUUUGUUUGUUAGACUCGGAAGAGAGAUGAAGUUCAUCCGAAAUGACGUGGGUGGGGAGAUGAGCUGGGAAGAAGAGAUGAUCUUGGAUAACCUGGGAGGAACUCACGAACGGGAUGUACAUGAAAUAGGGGAGCUGGGAUUCUUAUGUUUUAUUCUAGAUUUGGUUCUGGAUGACUAUUAUAGAAUAGGAAAGAGAUGCGGGGGAUUUGAUGAUGGUGGAGUUCGGGAGGAUGAACUCGAUUUGGUUGGGAACAGGGGAGAUGAUCCAUGGGAUUCGGCAGCUCGGGCGUUGGAUAAAAAUCAGGGAGUGAUGUUUACGGCCGGGAGGAAUUCGUGGAUGAGAACUGAAGUUGGUUGGGAGAUGGGAUAAAGAUGAACUCGAUGUGGAUGAAGGGGAGGAAGGCAUGCAUGAGAUGAGCGGAAGCCUGGCUUUAUCCAUGGGCGAUGAAGGCUAGAUUCAGCUGGGAUUUGGAAUAUGAGAUUGAUCUUUAUCCAUGGGAUGCUGGAAGUGGGAGAAUCACGUGAAGGGGAAUGAUCCGUGGAUGCUCUGUUCUUUGUUUCAAUGCAUGGGAAAAACAAUAGGUUUGAGUUGCGUAGAGUUGGAUGACGUGGAUGCAAGAUGAAUGGCUGAGAUGAGAUGAGGCUUUAGAAUC